rnacentral:rRNA from 1 species
UACAGAGGGUGCAAGCGUUGUUCGGAAUUACUGGGCGUAAAGCGCGUGUAGGUGGCAUGGUAAGUCUCGUGUGAAAGCCCUGGGCUCAACCCAGGAAGUGCGCGAGAUACUGCCGUGCUUGAGUGAUGGAGAGGAUGGCGGAAUUCCCGGUGUAGAGGUGAAAUUCGUAGAUAUCGGAAGGAACACCAGUGGCGAAAGCGGCUUCCUGGUCCAGCAUCGACGUCAGGCACGAAAGCGUGGGGAGCAAACAGG